GACUCUUGGCAACAUAUAUCUCGGCUCUUGUAUCGAUGAAGAACAUAGUGAAAUACGAUACUUCAUGUGAAUUACAAAAUCCCAUGAACCAUCGAGCCUUUGAACGCAAGUUAUGCCCUAGGCCAUCGGGCUGAGGGCACGCCUGCUUGGGCUUCA